rnacentral:rRNA from 1 species
ACAACGAAGAGUUUGAUCCUGGCUCAGGAUGAACGCUAGCGGGAGGCUUAACACAUGCAAGUCGAGGGGUAAGGCUCUUUCGGGAGUACACGACCGGCGCACGGGUGAGUAACGCGUAUGCAACCUACCUCUGACUGGGGAAUAGCCCGGAGAAAUUCGGAUUAAUUCCUCAUAAUAUCCGGGAUUCGCAUGUUUUCCGGAUCAAAGCUCAGGCGGUUGGAGAUGGGCAUGCGUGGCAUUAGCUUGUUGGUAAGGUAACGGCUUACCAAGGCAACGAUGCCUAGGGGGUCUUAAAGGAUGAUCCCCCACACUGGUACUGAGACACGGACCAGACUCCUACGGGAGGCAGCAGUGAGGAAUAUUGGGCAAUGGACGCAAGUCUGACCCAGCCAUCCCGCGUGCA